rnacentral:snoRNA from 1 species
GUCAACAUCAUGCUGACACCAUCCACUCGGGCUUGGCUAACUCUCCUACCCGGGUACACCAUCAAUAGCUGGGCCAAGUUGAAGGCUUAGUU